UUACACGUAUUAUUACAUUUUACAACUUAUGUACCAUGAUUUACUCGCUAUUGAAAAACCUAUGUUUCUGGUACAAGCCUUUUGACUUUUAUGACUUCUUUUGACUCCAGGUGGCUUGAAAAAUGGUUUCGAGGUAUUCUGAUGAAAUAUUUUAGCAAUGCCUCUCCUUGAAGAACAGCUACUGCGGGAUCCCCAACUAUACAGCCUGAGACGAUACUGAAGAAGAAAUGACCUCAUUUGCAAAAUAAAUUUGCACAAUAAGCAAGUCUUCCUGUCACAGAGUUCAAAGUAGUUCUGCUGUGCAAGAGAAACAAAAUUCCCUGACGCAAUGAAUGAAUUUGAAGACGACACUUUGACCAGAUCUGGAAGAGAAACUCGCCAAUAGUGAUGUGAAAUCUAAAAGGCUCAGGCUGAAGCCAAGGCUUGCCACUCACUGACAGAUCCGGAUGAUGAACGCCCACUACACCCAACACCGCCACAGAAAGAUCAAUCUAUAAGUGAAUGAGCUCAUCUGGCCCAUGCAUAAUGAAAAAGGAAGCCAUUCCAAUGGAAAGGUACUACAUCAAAUCCAUGAAUAAGAAUAAAAUGCCUUCAGAUUCAAGCAGACUGAUCAUUCAGCUUAUUGAUCUUUGGUCCAUGUGACUUACUUUAGUGAUUGUAAACCUCACAGAAAACU